UACGAAGGGGGCAAGCGUUAAUCGGAAUUACUGGGCGUAAAGCGCACGCAGGCGGUUUGUUAAGUCAGCUGUGAAAUCCCCGAGCUUAACUUGGGAACUGCAUUUGAAACUGGCAAGCUAGAGUCUUGUAGAGGGGGGUAGAAUUCCAGGUGUAGCGGUGAAAUGCGUAGAGAUCUGGAGGAAUACCGGUGGCGAAGGCGGCCCCCUGGACAAAGACUGACGCUCAGGUGCGAAAGCGUGGGGAGCAAACAGG
rnacentral:rRNA from 1 species